rnacentral:rRNA from 1 species
CAAGGUGGCAAGACCACCCUGAGAAUGCCCAACCUCAUCUAAUCUUGAAAUCUAAGCAGGGCUGGGCCUGGUUAGUACUGGAUGGGAGACUGCUGGGAAUAACAGGUGCUGUUGUGG